rnacentral:rRNA from 1 species
AAUGGAGGAAACUCUGAUGUAGCAACGCCGCGUGGAGGAUGACACAUUUCGGUGCGUAAACUCCUUUUAUGUGAGAAGAUAAUGACGGUAUCACAUGAAUAAGCACCGGCUAACUCCGUGCCAGCAGCCGCGGUAAUACGGAGGGUGCAAGCGUUACUCGGAAUCACUGGGCGUAAAGCGCGCGCAGGCGGCUUUGUAAGUUGGAUGUGAAAUCCUAUGGCUCAACCAUAGAACUGCAUCCAAAACUACUUAGCUAGAGUCUGGGAGGGGAAGAUGGAAUUAGUGGUGUAGGGGUAAAAUCCGUAGAGAUCACUAGGAAUACCAAAAGCGAAGGCGAUCUUCUGGAACAGUACUGACGCUGAGGCGCGAAAGCGUGGGGAGCAAA